rnacentral:rRNA from 1 species
GACGAACGCUGGCGGCGUGCCUAAUACAUGCAAGUAGAACGCUGAAGCGAGGAGCUUGCUCUUCUUGGAUGAGUUGCGAACGGGUGAGUAACGCGUAGGUAACCUGCCUUGUAGCGGGGGAUAACUAUUGGAAACGAUAGCUAAUACCGCAUAACAAUGGAUGACACAUGUCAUUUAUUUGAAAGGGGCAAUUGCUCCACUACAAGAUGGACCUGCGUUGUAUUAGCUAGUAGGUGAGGUAAUGGCUCACCUAGGCGACGAUACAUAGCCGACCUGAGAGGGUGAUCGGCCACACUGGGACUGAGACACGGCCCAGACUCCUACGGGAGGCAGCAGUAGGGAAUCUUCGGCAAUGGGGGCAACCCUGACCGAGCAACGCCGCGUGAGUGAAGAAGAGUUUCGGAUCGUAAAGCUCUGUUGUAAGUCAAGAACGGGUGUGAGAGUGGAAAGUUCACACUGUGACGGUAGCUUACCAGAAAGGGACGGCUAACUACGUG